GAUGAAGAACGUAGCGAAAUGCGAUAAGUAAUGCGAAUUGCAGAAUUCAGUGAGUCAUCGAGUCUUUGAACGCACAUUGCGCCCCCUGGUAUUCCGGGGGGCAUGCCUGUCCGAGCGUCAUUGCUGCCCUCCAGCCCGGCUUGUGUGUUGGGCCCCGUCCCCCUCUCCGGGGGACGGGCCCGAAAGGCAGCGGCGGCACCGAGUCCGGUCCUCGAGCGUAUGGGGCUUCGUCACCCGCUCUUGUAGGCCCGGCCGGCGCUUGCCGACACAUCAAUCUUUUUUCCAGGUUGACCUCGGAUCAGGUAGGGAUACCCGCUGAACUUAAGCAUAUCAAUAAGCGGAGGA
rnacentral:misc_RNA from 1 species